GGCCGCUUGGCCCAAUGGUAAGGCGUCUGACUACGACCGAGUGUAUCCAACACACUUGGAUAGUUAUCAGGAGAUUCUGGGUUCGAGCCCCAGGGUGGUCA
rnacentral:tRNA from 1 species